rnacentral:lncRNA from 1 species
AAAUACUCCAAUACAUAUCUACCCAAUAAUCUGGUGUCACAAAUUCACGAACAUCUACGAAUUUCUACAAAUACUAGUUUAGAAAGAAAAUACAAUUGUUCUCGAAAUGAAAAGAGACAGUAUAUCUAAAACAUAAGGAAUGAGACUCUGGAGUUUGCGAAUGCCGACAAAUCUACCUCGGGUCUCCUAUGGACUGAAGGCAAGCAACCCACGUUCUACUUACGAGAUCCAGCACCAAAAUCUGCACAGAAAGUGCAGAGUGCAGUAUCAGUACAACUGACCCCAUGUACUGGUAAGUGUCGAGCCUAACCUCGGCAAAGUAGUGACGAGGCUAGGAUGCGACAAACAUAAACUUAUACAGUUAAAUCAUAUACGAGAAGUAAUAAUAACAAGAAUUUAAUAGAAUAAGACGGAAAAAGAGGGAGGGGACAUGCUGAGGGGGAUAUCAAGUUAUGACAAUAAUAAAGUAAAGCGACAAAGUAAAUAUCAAACUUGGAGCAACGGAAAUGAUAACACAGUAACAAGUGCAUGACAUCACCCUUCGUGCUUUUACUCUCGUCCUCACCAUAGAAAUCAACAAAAAUGGCACAGCAUCACCCUUCGUGCUUUUACUCUCUCGUAAUCAUGGCACGAUAUCACCCUUCGUGCUUUUACUUUCAAUAAUGAGGCACGACAUCACCCUUCGUGCUUUUACACUCACAGAAUCGGCAUGACAUCACCCUUCGUGCAUUAACACUCACUCAUAAUAUCAUGCACGACAUCACCCUUCGUGCUUUACACUAUUCCUCACCCAAACAAUAGAAAUAAUAACAUUCCGGCAAGGGAAUCAACAAUAGAAACAAUACCGUCCCGGCAAGAGAGUCAACAAUAUAAACAAUAUCAUCCUAGUAAGGGAGUCAAUAAUAGAAACAAUAUUAUCCCGGCAAGAGCAUCAGCUAUAACCAAUUUAGUUUCAACAGUUACUUCACAAAAUAAACCUCAACUUGAGCCAAUACGCAAAAAUGGUCAAUUACCACGAAUUUAUCAUAAGUCUUGUUCCAUAGUGAUAACCAUCAAUUUAAGCAUGAACAUUAAAUAAUAAAAAUCAUAACAAUACUAGUAUAAGACUCACGAGCAUACUUGACACCGACGUAUAGAUGCUCGUCACCUCACCUAUACAUCGUACUCAACACUAACACAUAGCAAAUAAGACACAACACCUAUUCCCUUAAGUUAAGGUUAGACCAAACACUUACCCCGAUUUCACGGCCAAACUCAAUCCCCAAAUACUGCUUUUCCCUUAAUUUUCACUUUCAAUCCGCUUAUAGCUAGCCAAUAUUAACUUAUUAACAUUAAUUGAAGACAAAGAAACCAAUUCAAAUGAAAAAUUACACAUUUCCCAAUAUUCUUCCAAAAAGUCAAACUCGACCUCGGGCCCACUUGGUCAAAACUCGAGGUUCGAACUAAAACCCGUUCACCCACUCACCUACGACCCCAAAUAUACAAUUAGUUUCGGAAUCCGACCCCAAAUCGAGGUCUAAAUCUCCAAAUUUGUGAAAUCCACAAUUCUCCUAAAAUCCCUAAUUUCUACCCUUAAAGAACAAGAUUUAGGCCUAUAAAUCUAACGAGUGAUGAUGAAAAAUGAAAGAAAUGAGUUUAAGAACACAUACCUAUGAUUUGGUGAUGAUAUCCCUCUUCAAAAAUCGCCCAAGGUUGAUUUAUAUGGAAAAAGAUAUGAAAUUAUGACUUUUUGCCGUUUCUACUUCUGUUUUAAGGUUGAUUUAAAGGCAAAAUUAGCGUUUUCCUCAAAUUUUCACAUAAAGGCUUUCUGGAUAUACGCCCGGACUGCUCACGCAAAUUGAGGUGAGGCAAAAGAAGUUUUUAAGGCCUCGAAACAUAGAUUUGACUUUAAAAGAAGAGAUGACCUUUUGGGUCAUCACACAUAUCGAGUAAAAAACUUGUCCCACAUGCAACUUAAAAUAAUUGGUAACAUACACAUUGAAAAUCAUGUGUAAAUCAUGCAAGUUAUGAAAACACAAAUUGCAGUAAGAUUAUUACUCACAAUACUCGUGCCGAAAUACCAUAUAUUUCACCUCAUGCGAUUCAUACAAAUUCCUCCAAUCAAUCUAUAAUUACAUAAUAUCGAUCCCAUGUUAAUUUUCUCAUUUAGGCUAAAUCCAUCACUAAUGUAGAAUACCCAAUCCUCCGAGUUUAUAUUUCAGCAUCAAUUUAUCAAAUGUAUUUUAAUUAAUUAAUCCACCUAACCUCGUUAUUCUAAUCAUUAUCCAUCAUCUCAUUAUUAUAAGUUAUUGGCUAAUCCUUAGUAUCUAAAUAUAAAACCAGUAACAGUAGAGGCAACAUGGAUUUCUGAUGCAUUCUUAAGUCCCCAAAAACUUAAAUCAUUAUUACUACCAUCAUGAUGCAAAUCAUUGGCAAUCAUUCCAUCUUAUAAACCAAUAUUAAGAAGUUUUACCAAAAUAACUCUACAUAGCAGUAACUUUUAACCCAAUAUUUUACUAUUAUUGUUACUUUAUACUCCCUCCGUUCCAAUUUAUGUGAACCUGUUUGAAUGAGCACGAAGUUUAAGAAAAAAUACAGACUUUUGAAGUCUGUGGUCCUAAACAAAUCAAAAAGGGGCCCAGAGUAUUUGUGUGGUUAUAAAAGCUUCUCAUUAAGUGUAGAAUUGUAAAUUUAAGCUAAAUUGUUUUCAAAUUUAAAAAGGGGUCAUUCUUUUUGGAACGGACCAAAAAGGAAAUAGGUUCACAUAAACUGAAACGGAGGGAGUAAUCAUUACCACAUCACUAGCUAAUUCUUACAAACAUCAUAAUAAUUAUUAAACUAACAUCACAUGGCUCAUAAUUGAGCCAUCACUACCCAUACCCCUUUUUAUUUCAAGAAUUUACUUGUUUAUACUUAUUUUCUAAGUACAAUACAAUGUUGGACAAAUUCAAAAUUUACCUGUGAAAGCU